ACUUUCAACAACGGAUCUCUUGGUUCUCGCAUCGAUGAAGAACGCAGCGAAACGCGAUAGUUAAUGUGAAUUGCAGAAUUCAGUGAAUCAUCGAGUCUUUGAACGCACAUUGCACCUUUUGGUAUUCCGAAAGGUAUGUCUGUUUGAGCG
rnacentral:rRNA from 1 species